rnacentral:rRNA from 1 species
GUCGAGUCGGCCUGCGCGGAAGAUGUAACGGGGCUAAGUAGUAAACCGAAGCUGCGGCAAUGUGCUUUUGCACAUUGGGUAGGGGAGCGUUCUGUAAGCGGUUGAAGGUGUGUGGUAACGCAUGCUGGACGUAUCAGAAGUGCGAAUGCUGACAUGAGUAACGAUAAAGGGGGUGAAAAACCUCCUCGCCGGAAGACCAAGGGUUCCUGUCCAACGUUAAUCGGGGCAGGGUAAGUCGACCCCUAAGGCGAGGCCGAAAGGCGUAGUCGAUGGGAAACGGGUUAAUAUUCCCGUACUUCUUACAAUUGCGAUGG